UCUUCCCUAUGAUGUUAGCACUGGGCUCUGAGUCAGUCAUGCUGAUAGCUGUGCCUCUCUGACUUGACAUUCAGAGAGACUGAGGGAAUG